ensembl:lncRNA
GGGGGGCCGUGGGGGCCGCAGCCCAGCCCCCACUGGCCAGGGGUGAGUCACGGCCUCCUGCCCGGGCCUCCUGCAGCUUCCUGCUCCCUGCGCUGUGGUCCCCCAGCUGGCCUGCCCUACCUCGCCAGGGCCACCCCAGGACCUCUGGACCUUGGCCUGGUGGCCUUGCAGAGGUCUUAGGUGACCCAGCUGCCCCCUGGGACCGUGACUGUCGACCUGUGUUCGAGGCCCAGGGGGCACGGCCUCAUCCUGGACUUGCAACAUGGAGAAAAGUGGCAUUUUGACCCCGUGUGACGGCUGAGGAGCUGAGGCCCGGGGAGGGCUGGAGUUCUCCUGGCGGGGCAGGGGGCGAAUGGCCCGGAGCUGCCAGGCAGUAAUUAGCGCGGGCAGCUCUCUGAAGUCGGCGCUGGAGGCAGACGUGUGAUUAAACCACUUUACAGGUAGGUAAACUGAGGCAGGGCCUCUCGGUUCCCUUGACUCAGCAGCUCAGCCAGGCUCUGCUCUCUCCACAGCAGGCCACGCCCCUCGCCCCGGGCCCUGGCUGCAGGCUGCACCCCGAGGCCACAGGGCACCCACCCCUGCCUUGUCCCCUCAGGCCUACAGGGCCCUGGGUUCCCAGUCUAUGCCAGAGGAUGGAACCUGACUCUGCUGUGUGACCCCAGAAGUACCGGAACGUUCCCGGGAUGGCGGAGCAGCCUCCAGUCCUGGCCGCGGUCCCAGAGUUCUGGAAUGUUGGAAUCCAACGGCCUCCGGACGCUCUCCAGGAGGAAGGGGACACUAGGCUGCCCAGGGGAGCAGGACCGCCAACAGGCCCGCGUCCACCCCCCGUUUUCCAGCCAUAGCACCCCAGCUUCCUACCAGAGAACACUUCUCCCCCAUUUCAGGCCGCGAGGCCUGGGGGGUGCCUGAGAACCCCGGCUCCAAGAGUGCACAGGUGACCAGCUCUCCCCGCUGUGAUUGGCCCCCUGGGGAGGKCCUGGGGAGGUCCUGGGGCCACGCUCACCCGACGAAGCCCUGUCCUGGGACUUGAGUGCGGAGAGGUGGGGAAGGYGCGCAGUGGGUCCCCUGGAUGGAGAAUGAGCCAGCGAAGGGCCCAAGCCUGCCUGAGAGCCRGACAGGGGCAGAGCUCCUGGAUCCAGCCAGACCUGAAUCACACACCCUUGGACUCCGAUUACAGAAACUGCUACCUUUCCUGGUUUGGGCUGAAAACAGUUUGAAGUAGUUUUCUCUCCCUUAUUCCGAUGGAGCCAUGGGAGGAGACGAGAGGGGAAGAGAGUCCCAGCCGAGGGAAGGGGCAGCAGCGCCGGGAGGGACCCCGUGACGGGGGAGGGGCCAGGCGGGCGACCGGAGUGUCCCAGCCAGGGAYGCCGGGUGAGAGGUGGAGAGCGGCUGGCUAGCAGGAGGCUGACCACGUACCAGGCUGGGCUGGGCGUCGGGGACACAGCUGGACUGUCCCUCCCGACCGCCUGGAGCAGGCUCCUUCCCAGCUCGCCCCGCCCCAGCGCCCUGGGGUUCAGGAGCCCAGCGUUGGGCGGUGUCCACCCUGGGGCCACCUCACGGGUCACACGGUGGGGAUGAUUCCCUCUGCAAACCUUCCAGGAUCCCCCGGGACCCGGCUGUCCCCUCCUGAGGAAGAGCACCCCCUGCCCCUCUGUGGCCCAGCUCCAUCUCUGCUGAACCCCCAGAUGUGUGGGGUGUGACGCAGGGAAGAGAGGACCUCGGCCUGACGAGCCGCGGAGCAUGUCACCGCAGGCACUGGACAGGCAGAGUGUCACCACCCCGAGUCCUCUGUCCCCUCCACGCACCUCCCCUUGGAGGGCCCCCUCCCGGCUCCCUCGCCACACCUAGCCCCUCAGGCGUGUGGACUUGGUUCUGAUCCGGGUCUGUCCCUGUACCCGUGCUACUCCAGGUGCCGCCUGGGGACCCAGCGUGCUGCCUCCUUGGGUCUGGGUUCCCCUUCAGCAUGGCGUUGAAGACACACACAGGCAGGGCUGGGUGCAGCUCAGGGGCAGCGCUCACCCGGCUUGCACGGGGCUGGGGGGCGAGCGGGGAGAGGCGUGCAGUUGUGCCAGGCUGUAGAUGACCCUUUUUGAUGGGCACCUAAUAUUCCCUUGGGCCACAUGGUGAGCCAUUCACCACUUGAGGUUUAUUUGAACYGUUUCCAAACAGGUUUUUGUGUGGACACACAUUUUUGUUUACCCUGGGUAAAUUCCGAGGAGUGGCGCUACUGGGUCACRUGGCAGGUGUGUGAGUCGCUGUUGAGCUCUUCCCCAGCGUCUAGGUCACUCUGAGCUCCCACCAKCGGGGCAUCAGAGCUUCAGGACUCCCGUCCUCUCCAACCCUUGUGUUGUCAGGUGGCUUUUAAAGAUAUUUUUAGAAUUUUAGCCCUUGAAGUCGGUGCCCAUCUCACCACAGCUUUAUCUCGCGCAUCCCUAAUGGUCAACGAUCUGGCGCUUUGUGGAAUGUGACUAUUUGCCAYUGACACAUUUUCUUUGGUGUCGUAUCUGUUCCAACAUUUUGGCCUCCGUGAAAACGGGAUUGUUUACUUGUUAAUGGGUUCGGAGCGCUCUUUAUAUAUUCUGGAUACUGGUCAGCGCUUUGUCAAAUAUGUGAUCUGCAAAUACCUCCUCCCAGCCUGUGGCUGGGUUUCUCGUGUUUUGCUAAUAGGUAGACCUCAGUGACAUUGUUUUGUUUUGGUUGCGAUGAUUUCUCUGGUUAACGUUGGCUUGUGGCGUGUUCUUUGUUAUCUCAAGGCCAGUGAUAACAUCAAAUGUUUUCUUUUAAAAUAAAUUUGAGUUAAAAAAAAAAAAAAGAGUCA